GGUCUGUUCCAAAGCAGUUAAACGUCUGUUGUGCAUUCUUCAAUCGUGUACCUCUGUUAAUUUGCAGACGUGUAAGCAUUCGACCAAACGCUGUAGCGAUCACGGUUUGUCAAGAGGGAACUGGCCAGGUGUGUUACAGAUUCCCAUUCAAAGGACUUUGCUGCAGGGAUAAAUCACGGAUUGUCUGGUAUGCUGACCAGACUGGCGAACUAACCAAUUAGCGGAUCCGGAAAUACCACACCACCUUCUAUCAAAGAAAACUAUUCCGAAUUGGUUGGAGACAUCCGGCCAUAAAUUGGAUUAUUUUUUUGUUCCUUUCAUCACCAGCAAGAACUGUUGAAUUCCUUGGAUUAAGGAACCAUUCUGGACUUCAUUAACUGUUGACUAACCUGUAUAUAUUGUAAAUAUUAAUACAAUUCACCAAUUUUGCACC